rnacentral:misc_RNA from 1 species
AAAAAUUGUACAUUUUGUUGAGCUGCUAAACAGCUUGCGUGCGGACUGUAUACAACCAAGUAUACUAUUUCAUCCGAACGCAAGUCUGCUUAAUCUUAAGGGGACUGAUAAUGGCUUUGAUGACAUUCAUUUUGAAGUCAUCUUAGCAAAACUAGAUACCUGUUUCUCGCUGUUGUUGCUAUUUCGUUUGUUUGAUCUUAGUAGUAU